GACGAACGCUGGCGGCGUGCUUAACACAUGCAAGUCGAACGGAAAGGCCCUGCUUUUGUGGGGUGCUCGAGUGGCGAACGGGUGAGUAACACGUGAGUAACCUGCCCUUGACUUUGGGAUAACUUCAGGAAACUGGGGCUAAUACCGGCUAGGAGCUCCUGCUGCAUGGUGGGGGUUGGAAAGUUUCGGCGGUUGGGGAUGGACUCGCGGCUUAUCAGCUUGUUGGUGGGGUAGUGGCUUACCAAGGCUUUGACGGGUAGCCGGCCUGAGAGGGUGACCGGCCACAUUGGGACUGAGAUACGGCCCAGACUCCUACGGUAGGCAGCAGUGGGGAAGAUUGCACAAUGGGCGGAAGCCUGAUGCAGCAACGCCGCGUGCGGGAUGACGGCCUUCGGGUUGUAAACCGCUUUCGCCUGUGACGAAGCGUGAGUGACGGUAAUGGGUAAAGAAGCACCGGCUAACUACGUG
rnacentral:rRNA from 1 species